rnacentral:rRNA from 1 species
GAAGCAGCCACCCUUUAAAGAAAGCGUAAUAGCUCACUAGUCGAGUCGGCCUGCGCGGAAGAUGUAACGGGGCUAAAACUAUGUGCCGAAGCUGCGGAUGUAUACUUUGUAUACGUGGUAGGGGAGCGUUCUGUAAGCCGAUGAAGGUGUGUUGAGAAGCNNNNNNNNNNNNAUGCUGGAGGUAUCAGAAGUGCGAAUGCUGACGUGAGUAACGACAAAACGGGUGAAAAACCCGUUCGCCGAAAGACCAAGGGUUCCAGUCCAACGUUAAUCGGGGCUGGGUGAGUCGACCCCUAAGGCGAGGCCGAAAGGCGUAGUCGAUGGGAAAAUGGUUAAUAUUCCAUUACUUCUGUGUAAUGCGAUGAGAGGACGGAGAAGGCUAAAUCAGCCUGGCGUUGGUUGUCCAGGUGAAAGGAUGUAGGCAUGUAUCUUAGGCAAAUCCGGGGUACUCUAUGCUGAGAUCUGAUAGCAAGCUGUACUUGUACAGCGAAGUGGUUGAUGCCAUGCUUCCAGGAAAAGUCUCUAAGCUUCAGUUACACAGGAAUCGUACCCGAAACCGACACAGGUGGUCAGGUCGAGUAGACCAAGGCGCUUGAGAGAACUCUGCUGAAGGAACUAGGCAAAAUGGUACCGUAACUUCGGGAGAAGGUACGCUGUUGUUGGUGAUGGAACUCGCUUCCUGAGCUGACGACAGCCGCAGAAACCAGGCCGCUGCAACUGUUUAUUAAAAACAUAGCACUCUGCAAACACGAAAGUGGACGUAUAGGGUGUGAUGCCUGCCCGGUGCUGGAAGGUUAAUUGAUGGGGUUAGCGUAAGCGAAGCUCUUGAUCGAAGCCCCAGUAAACGGCGGCCGUAACUAUAACGGUCCUAAGGUAGCGAAAUUCCUUGUCGGGUAAGUUCCGACCUGCACGAAUGGCAUAAUGAUGGCGGCGCUGUCUCCAGCAGAGGCUCAGUGAAAUCGAAAUCGCUGUGAAGAUGCAGUGUACCCGCGGCUAGACGGAAAGACCCCGUGAACCUUUACUGCAGCUUGACACUGAACUUUGACCUUACUUGUGUAGGAUAGGUGGGAGGCUUUGAAGCUGGAACGCUAGUUCCAGUGGAGCCGUCCUUGAAAUACCACCCUGGUAAUGUUGAGGUUCUAACUCUGUCCCGUGAUCCGGGACGAGGACCGUGUCUGGUGGGUAGUUUGACUGGGGCGGUCUCCUCCUAAAGAGUAACGGAGGAGUACGAAGGUGCGCUCAGCGUGGUCGGAAAUCACGCGUAGAGUAUAAAGGCAAAAGCGCGCUUAACUGCGAGACCCACAAGUCGAGCAGGUACGAAAGUAGGUCUUAGUGAUCCGGUGGUUCUGUAUGGAAGGGCCAUCGCUCAACGGAUAAAAGGUACUCUGGGGAUAACAGGCUGAUACCGCCCAAGAGUUCAUAUCGACGGCGGUGUUUGGCACCUCGAUGUCGGCUCAUCUCAUCCUGGGGCUGAAGCAGGUCCCAAGGGUAUGGCUGUUCGCCAUUUAAAGAGGUACGCGAGCUGGGUUUAGAACGUCGUGAGACAGUUCGGUCCCUAUCUACCGUGGGCGCUGGAAAUUUGAGAGGAUCUGCUCCUAGUACGAGAGGACCAGAGUGGACGAACCUCUGGUGUACCGGUUGUGACGCCAGUCGCAUCGCCGGGUAGCUAUGUUCGGAAGGGAUAACCGCUGAAAGCAUCUAAGCGGGAAGCCUACCUCAAGAUAAGAUUUCCCUAGGACUUUAUGUCCUCUAAAGAGCCGUUCGAGACUAGGACGUUGAUAGGUUGGAUGUGGAAGCAUAGUGAUAUGUGAAGCUGACCAAUACUAAUUGCUCGUGAGGCUUGACUAUACAACACCCAAGCAGUUG